rnacentral:rRNA from 1 species
CAUUACAGAGUUGCAAAACUCCCAAACCAUCGCGAACUUACCGUACCGUUGCUUCGGCGAGGGGCUCCGGGGAGGAGCCGCGGCCCUAACGGGUGCUCGCCGCUAGCCCAAUAACUCUGAAUUCUUGGUAUCUCUGAGUAUAACAUACAAAUAAGUUAAAACUUUCAACAACGGAUCUCUUGGUUCUGGCAUCGAUGAAGAACGCAGCGAAAUGCGAUAAGUAAUGUGAAUUGCAGAAUUCAGUGAAUCAUCGAAUCUUUGAACGCACAUUGCGCCCGCCAGUAUUCUGGCGGGCAUGCCUGUUCGAGCGUCAUUUCAACCAUCAGGCCCCCGGGCCCGUGUUGGGGCACUGCGCGCCAGCCGCGCAGGCCCUCAAAACCAGUGGCGGGCUCGCUGUCGCACCGAGCGUAGUAACACAUCUCGCUUCGGACGUGCGGCGGGCGCUUGCCGUAAAACACCCCCCUUCUCAAGGUUGACCUCGGAUCAGGUAGGAAUACCCGCUGAACUUAAGCAUAUCAAUAAGCGGAGGAAAAGAAACCAACAGGGAUUGCCCUAGUAACGGCGAGUGAAGCGGCAACAGCUCAAAUUUGAAAUCUGGCCCCCAGGCCCGAGUUGUAAUUUGUAGAGGAAGCUUCUGGCGAGGUACCUGCUGAGUCCCCUGGAACGGGGCGCCAUAGAGGGUGAGAGCCCCGUAUAGCAGAGUG